AUGGCGCCGCUCGCCGGAGCCGCCGUGGCCUCCUGCAUGAUCCUGCUCCUCCUGCUCGUCCCCUGCGCCCAGGGACAGGGGCAACCACCCGAGGCGUCGGAGGAAGCUUGGGCCGAGGGGCAACCACCGGAGGCGUCGGAAGACGCUCUGACGACGCUCUUAUCCGAGGGCGGGUGCGGCGCCUUCGCCGCCCUCGUCGCCGCGACGGCCGGAGUGGGCGACGCGUUCCGCGAGCAGAUCGCCGGCGACCUGGGGCUCACGCUCCUCUGCCCUGAUGACGAUGCGGUGCGGGCGUUCAUCCCGAGGUUCCAUAGCCUCACCGUCGAGGAGCAGGUCGCGGCCCUCCUGUACCACGGCCUGACGAUGGCCUACUCCGAGGAGCAGCUCAGCUGGGUCCACUGGAAGGUGUCGACGCUUGAUGGGGAGCAGAUGCUCACCGUCCGUCACCACAGAGGCAGGGUGAUACUUUCUUCGUGGCCGCCGUCGUCACGAAACGAGGCCCGGAUCACCAAGACUGUCGUCGGCGACGACCAUCUCGCCGUGUACCUCAUCGACGCCGUGCUGAUUCCGGCAGAUCCCAAGCCUCAAAUGUCGUUCUGGGGCGUUUUGGCAGUUAUCGUCGUCCUUCUAGUACUUCUUGUCGUCGGGAUCGCGGCGAUAGUCCUGCUGUGUCAUGCACUUGUAUAUCUUUGUUCUCUUCUGCCCCGGCUGGGAAGAUGGUGUAAGGGUCGUGUUGCUGCCUACGCUUCGGCCGCCCGUGUCACUCCACAUGCGCAAGGGCAACAAGAACACUAG
rnacentral:rRNA from 1 species